rnacentral:misc_RNA from 1 species
CUUUAACUGCCGAUCGAUCGCGCAGAAAGGAUCUUGUGGCCCACUGUGCAUGUGGAAUACCGGGAAUACCUGCAAAUGGACUAGGGAGUCGUCGAAUCGAAGGGAACUCAAGAUGUGAGAGCCAUUCUCCCCAGAUCGAUUCGGAUUUGGCGAGUGCGAAAGAGCGGAGAAAGCUCAAGAGAGCGCGGAGAUGGAGAUAGCCGGUGCCCGGGGCUUCGGAUCGUCGGGGACAAUGAUAGUGUUGAUAACAAGUGCUUUGCUCUGGAUAUGGGAAUGGGAAUCUUCUCCGACACCGAAAGCCGUGCACUGCAGGAAAUUCCAUUUGGAAGUUUUCAGAUCCUUUCUUAUAUGAUUACCUACCUUACAGGAUUUAAGGGUUUUUGAGCUUUUGAUACAAUCAUAAUGUUAAAAAAUAUAUGUAUUAAAUAUUUUAUAUCUUUCAACUACGUUUUUAGGCCCACUGUGCGCCUGCGCAGCUUCACGCUCGUAAAAAGCACAACUCACGAUCAUCGGAGAUCUACGGGUUCCACAGUAAAAUGUAGAGCAAUACUGACCAUGACACUUAGGAUUUUGUACCAUGAAAUGACGUGUAAAUAAAUUGAUAAAUAAGUUGAAAAGGUUUAA